UGUCCCUACGGGACGCAGCAGUGGGGAAUAUUGCACAAUGGGGGAAACCCUGAUGCAGCGACGCCGCGUGGGCGAGGAAGUACCUCGGUAUGUAAAGCCCUAUCAGCAGGGAAGAAACAGGACAGUACCUGACUAAGAAGCCCCGGCUAACUACGUGCCAGCAGCCGCGGUAAUACGUAGGGGGCAAGCGUUAUCCGGAUUUACUGGGUGUAAAGGGAGCGUAGACGGCAGAGCAAGUCUGAAGUGAAAGCCCGCGGCCCAACUGCGGGACUGCUUUGGAAACUGCCCGGCUAGAG
rnacentral:rRNA from 1 species